UACAGAGGGUGCGAGCGUUAAUCGGAAUUACUGGGCGUAAAGCGCGCGUAGGCGGCUUUGCAAGUCGGGUGUGAAAUCCCCAGGCUUAACCUGGGAACUGCAUUCGAUACUGUCAGGCUAGAGGUAGGUAGGGGAGAUCGGAAUUCCUGGUGUAGCGGUGAAAUGCGCAGAUAUCAGGAGGAACACCGGUGGCGAAGGCGGAUCUCUGGGCCUUACCUGACGCUCAGGCGCGAAAGCUAGGGGAGCGAACAGG
rnacentral:rRNA from 1 species